rnacentral:rRNA from 1 species
UACGAAGGGGGCUAGCGUUGUUCGGAAUUACUGGGCGUAAAGCGCACGUAGGCGGAUAUUUAAGUCAGGGGUGAAAUCCCAGAGCUCAACUCUGGAACUGCCUUUGAUACUGGGUAUCUUGAGUAUGGAAGAGGUAAGUGGAAUUGCGAGUGUAGAGGUGAAAUUCGUAGAUAUUCGCAGGAACACCAGUGGCGAAGGCGGCUUACUGGUCCAUAACUGACGCUGAGGUGCGAAAGCGUGGGGAGCAA